AAGUAGAAAUUUUUUCUGAAUAAUCUAUAAAUUUUAUUUUUUUACAUUUCUAUAUGUAGUAUUUAAGAAAACAUUGUUGGUGAUUAUUAUUGGAAUAAUGGUCUGAAUGAAACCUGCUUUGGUAUGAGCUGAGAGUUUCCGAUCAGAUUGAUUUAGCUCCAGGUAUUCCUCCCAUUAUUGUAGAUGCUUAUUAGCAAAGCUUUUUAUGUAAUUUAGAUGAUAAUUUAUAUUCUGGAAAGAGUAGACUAUUUUGAAGUAAUGCUAUUCUUGUUAAACUAUGUUAUAAAGAAUCCUGAGAUCAGUCUAAGCACCUGCACACCCAUUUCUUCGAACAUUUGUAUAGAAAUAACAGAAAGAUGUCCUGUGAGUGUGGUGAGUGAUGUUUGCAUUGUUUAUUGAACUGUAGUAGAGCUAGAGGAUAGAUUGUGUUAUUAAUUGACAGAUAUUUUUGAGGAUUCCUAGAGGAUUGUUAAGAUAGUAAAUACGAUUAGAGAAACAACAGCUAGUAGAAAAAGUUACAGCAGGAGAAAGAAUAACUAAUAAGUGUUAGUUCACAGCUGAUCCUGGGCUUCUCAAGAGAGCCCUGGUGAAAGUGUGAAUUUGGAAUCAAGAGUUCAUAGUGGGAGCAUGGCUGUGUUGCCAUCACCAUGGUAGUUACAGAAGUUCAUUCAGAAUAGCAGGCUCAGUGGAGCCUUCUUUCUGUCCCCUUCAGAGUAGCUGGUAAGCCAGGCUUUCAUUUU